CCUACGGGGUGCAGCAGUGAGGAAUAUUGGUCAAUGGACGAGAGUCUGAACCAGCCAAGUAGCGUGAAGGAUGACUGCCCUAUGGGUUGUAAACUUCUUUUAUAUGGGACUAAAAUGUUCCACGUGUGGGCUUUUGUAUGUACCAUAUGAAUAAGGAUCGGCUAACUCCGUGCCAGCAGCCGCGGUAAUCCGGAGGGUCCGGGCGUUAUCCGGAUUUAUUGGUUUUAAAGGGAUCGUAGGUGGAUUGUUAAGUCAGUUGUGAAAGUUUGCGGCUCAACCGUAAAACUGCAGUUGAAACUGGCAGGCUUGAGUAUAGUAGAGGUGGGUAGAAUUCGAGGGGUAGCGGUGAAAUGCGUAGAGAUCAGGAAGAAGACCGAUGGCGAAGGCAGUCCACUGGACUGAAACUGAC
rnacentral:rRNA from 1 species